rnacentral:rRNA from 1 species
UAGACAGGUGGUGCAUGGUUGUCGUCAGCUCGUGUCGUGAGAUGUUGGGUUAAGUCCCGCAACGAGCGCAACCCUUAUUGUCAGUUGCCAGCAUUCAGUUGGGCACUCUGGCGAGACUGCCGUUGACAAAACGGAGGAAGGUGGGGACGACGUCAAAUCAUCAUGCCCCUUAUGUCCAGGGCUACACACGUGCUACAAUGGCCGGUACAAAGGGCAGCAAAGCCGCGAGGUGGAGCCAAUCCCAGAAAGCCGGUCUCAGUUCGGAUUGGAGUCUGCAACUCGACUCCAUGAAGUUGGAAUCGCUAGUAAUCGCGGAUCAGCAUGCCGCGGUGAAUACGUUCCCGGGCCUU